AUUUGAUCCUGGCUCAGGACGAACGCUGGCGGCGUGCCUAAUACAUGCAAGUAGAACGCUGAAGGAGGAGCUUGCUUCUCUGGAUGAGUUGCGAACGGGUGAGUAACGCGUAGGUAACCUGCCUGGUAGCGGGGGAUAACUAUUGGAAACGAUAGCUAAUACCGCAUAAGAGUGGAUGUUGCAUGACAUUUGCUUAAAAGGUGCACUUGCAUCACUACCAGAUGGACCUGCGUUGUAUUAGCUAGUUGGUGGGGUAACGGCUCACCAAGGCGACGAUACAUAGCCGACCUGAGAGGGUGAUCGGCCACACUGGGACUGAGACACGKCCCAGACUCCUACGGGAGGCAGCAGUAGGGAAUCUUCGGCAAUGGACGGAAGUCUGACCGAGCAACGCCGCGUGAGUGAAGAAGGUUUUCGGAUCGUAAAGCUCUGUUGUAAGAGAAGAACGAGUGUGAGAGUGGAAAGUUCACACUGUGACGGUAUCUUACCAGAAAGGGACGGCUAACUACGUGCCAGCUGCCGCGGUAAUACGUAGGUCCCGAGCGUUGUCCGGAUUUAUUGGGCGUAAAGCGAGCGCAGGCGGUUAGAUAAGUCUGAACUUAAAGGCUGUGGCUUAACCAUAGUAGGCUUUGGAAACUGUUUAACUUGAGUGCAAGAGGGGAGAGUGGAAUUCCAUGUGUAGCGGUGAAAUGCGUAGAUAUAUGGAGGAACACCGGUGGCGAAAGCGGCUCUCUGGCUUGUAACUGACGCUGAGGCUCGAAAGCGUGGGGAGCAAACAGGAUUAGAUACCCUGGUAGUCCACGGUGUAAACGAUGAGUGCUAGGUGUUAGACCCUUUCCGGGGUUUAGUGCCGUAGCUAACGCAUUAAGCACUCCGCCUGGGGAGUACGACCGCAAGGUUGAAACUCAAAGGAAUUGACGGGGGCCCGCACAUGCGGUGGAGCAUGUGGUUUAAUUCGAAGCAACGCGAAGAACCUUACCAGGUCUUGACAUCCCUCUGACCGCUCUAGAGAUAGAGUUUUCCUUCGGGACAGAGGUGACAGGUGGUGCAUGGUUGUCGUCAGCUCGUGUCGUGAGAUGUUGGGUUAAGUCCCGCAACGAGCGCAACCCCUAUUGUUAGUUGCCAUCAUUCAGUUGGGCACUCUAGCGAGACUGCCGGUAAUAAACCGGAGGAAGGUGGGGAUGACGUCAAAUCAUCAUGCCCCUUAUGACCUGGGCUACACACGUGCUACAAUGGCUGGUACAACGAGUCGCAAGCCGGUGACGGCAAGCUAAUCUCUUAAAGCCAGUCUCAGUUCGGAUUGUAGGCUGCAACUCGCCUACAUGAAGUCGGAAUCGCUAGUAAUCGCGGAUCAGCACGCCGCGGUGAAUACGUUCCCGGGCCUUGUACACACCGCCCGUCACACCACGAGAGUUUGUAACACCCGAAGUCGGUGAGGUAACCGUAAGGAGCCAGCCGCCUAAGGUGGGAUAGAUGAUUGGGGUGAAGUCGUAACAAGGUCAGCCGUUUGGGAGA
rnacentral:rRNA from 1 species